rnacentral:tRNA from 1 species
GGUCCCCUUUCAAAUGAAAAUAGCCUUCAGUCAUACGUGUGACAAAUUGAUCAAACACAAGAACUUAAUGUUCAAUUCAUCCAAAAAGGAAAAUCCAGUGCCGCCAACAGCAAAUGCAAAGAAAGACCUACCUAGAUAUAUAAUCCAUUUCAUUUGUGUAUACUCGUGUUGUUCCAGCAUUUUAUGACACCUGCAAAGCUCGGAAUCCUAGCAAUGCUGUCAUGGGUGGAGACAAGCUCAUCAUACACCACUGAAACCAGUGACAGAGGAUAACCGCGCUACAAUUGGGCCACCAAGUCAAACUCCAGCGGAAAGCUUCAAGUUUGUCAAUAGAGCAGUGAUGAACAAGAUUAUAAACCAAAUGCUUCAAUGCACAGCAAGGGAUGUAGUAGAGGUUAAGAUAGUGCUAAGGACCUCAUCUUCACGUCUACCAUAAUGUUAAAUUGCUGCCUUGCUCAAAUCUCUACCUUUUCUGUCCAAAAUCUCUACCUUUUCUGUCCAACAAGCAUCAACCAUGAACACCAAGUUUGAAUCCUGGAAAGUCCCACCAGCUUCCCUCCCUCCUUCCCCGUCAUUUUCAUCAUGAUCCUGGCGCCAAUUUAUCACCACAUGGUCAUUCCAUUUGCCAGAAAAGUUAUAAAUUCUGAAAUGGGGAUCACUCAUAUUCGAAGGGUGGAUAGCUAUAGUCAUCUCCAAUCUCCAUUGCGGCAUUCUUUGAAUAUAAUAUUAGCAGAAGCAUUGAUAAAAAAGGGGAUGUAGCUCAGAUGGUAGAGCGCUCGCUUAGCAUGCGAGAGGUACGGGGAUCGAUACCCCGCAUCUCCAUUCCUUUCUUUUCCCUUUUAUUAAUCUGUUGUUUUUUCAUAUCAUUUCUCUGAAUAUAUCCCUGAUGAAAUGAUUAGCGCCAAACUUAACAAAGGGUAUUAUCAUCCUACCUUGAAAUUUACAUCCCUUAGUCUUACGCACUCCACAUUAUUUCUUUCCCCUCAUAUCAGCAGGAAAAAUUUUAAAAAUAUUAAUGAAAAUGCCCAAAAACCAAGAAAAGCAAAACUCCUCAGACACUUGAGUCAGCUUCCUUCAACCCACCGAGUAAAACAGACCCAACAAACAACCCAGCUGCAACAACUGCAAUCUCCAGCUUGCAUCGCCACCAACCCCACCAAAUCAUCCGGUAUUACCACGAUCGCUGCCAGCGCCGCUACCAGUAUGGGAAGCCCAGCUGAAGCCAGAGUCGACGGGGAGACACUGGCUGUCUUCUCCAACAGACUCUAACAGCCCCAACUCCUCAGCUCUCGAAAACACACCCAAAUUCUCUAUUGAUAAGAGUGUGGAUCCCAGCUCUUCCGCCUUGGAGAGUAGUCCUGCC